GACGAACGCUGGCGGCGUGCUUAACACAUGCAAGUCGAACGGAAAGGCCCUGCUUUUGUGGGGUGCUCGAGUGGCGAACGGGUGAGUAACACGUGAGUAACCUGCCCUUGACUUUGGGAUAACUUCAGGAAACUGGGGCGAAUACCGGAUAUGAGCUCCUGCUGCAUGGUGGGGGUUGGAAAGUUUCGGCGGUUGGGGAUGGACUCGCGGCUUAUCAGCUUGUUGGUGGGGUAGUGGCUUACCAAGGCUUUGACGGGUAGCCGGCCUGAGAGGGUGACCGGCCACAUUGGGACUGAGAUACGGCCCAGACUGCUACGGGAGGCAGCAGUGGGGAAUAUUGCACAAUGGGCGGAAGCCUGAUGCAGCAACGCCGCGUGCGGGAUGACGGCCUUCGGGUUGUAAACCGCUUUCGACUGUGACGAAGCGUGAGUGACGGUAAUGGGUAAAGAAGCACCGGCUAACUACGUG
rnacentral:rRNA from 1 species